rnacentral:misc_RNA from 1 species
CCAGCUGCAUCGAUUAUUCCAUAUCCUUGCUAUGCCUUUGGCAGUGGGGGUUUGGUUUGUUCGUUGAAAGUUUAGUUUUAGCAAUCGCGUGGGCGUAUGAGUGGUAUUUGGGUUGUUUGUGCUGGCUGGCUCCAUGCUUGUGCAUCGAACGGUUUGCAUGCAACCCUCUCCAGUACUCACCUUAUGCCUUGUGCUUUGGUGUUUGCUUUGGUUCCUGUGCUGGCUACCUAUUGAAGGCACUUGAUUGGCUUGUAGAACUCAUCCCAUCUCGGCCUCUUCGGUGGGGUUGUGGAGGGCCUCGAAGCGACUUGGGCGUGCCCACUUGGUCAUGCUCCACGAUGACUACUUUGGUACGUACAUGCUCGUUGUAUUCUUGGAUGCGGUGCAUGAGGUGAAUGUGGGUCUUUUUCCUAUCGUGUCCCUUUACUUUCGGUUGCCUUGAAUGAUGCCUGCCUCUUUUUGCAUGGUUUGCUUCCCAUUAGUGGGCGCAAAGCUUGCAAUUGGAGUAGUGUCAUUGAUGGAUGCUACCUGGUUGAUCCUGCCAGUAGUCAUAUGCUUGUCUCAAAGAUUAAGCCAUGCAUGUGGUAAGAUAUAU